rnacentral:misc_RNA from 1 species
GGAAGUGAAUUCCUGAUCUGCAUUAUUUGUAUAAUACAUUGUUACCUGAUUUACUGAUUUGGUAAAAUGGAAAGAAGUUAGGAAAUAAACAUCAUUACCUCAGUAGGAAAUGCAAUUGGUCAAAUGGGAGAUGACAGUAGAGUUUUAGACAAGAUUGAUGCUGUUCAAUUAUCAAAUGGAUUAAUAUUGAGCACAGUUUGCAUUUGACAAGCAUAUGAUUAUGUUUCUGUUUAUUGGUUUAUGGGUUUGAAGGUGAAUGCAAUUUACUUUUGAUAUGAUUAACAAUUGAUUUCUUGGUUGGUAUCAAAAAGUUAUUUGUUCUGUUUCUUAAAUUGACAACUUUGGAAGGGCUUGAAGAGCAUUGGUAGUUAAUGUACAUCCUUUCUUGUUGAUUUUAAUUUCCAAUUAUUUUAAAUGGAACUAUUAUCAAUUAUCUUACAGUGUCUAGUAAAAACACUAAAACUUCUGCCUGACUAUAUAAUUCUUAUGGAGAUGGAGUCUAGUGAAACAUUAAAGGUGAAGUAUACAAGCAAUUCUUCAGCAUACAGAACUUGCCAAAAUUCAAAGUUCCUUUUGGUUAUAUCACUUGAAAUACUUAUGUAGUUCAUGUGCAAGCGGUAGAUGAUUAUCUGUUUCUGUGAUCAAGAAAGUCAAGGAUUAAUUCUUUCAAGAUUCAGCUAGAAAAAAUUCAAAAGAUGAAGUGAUAUCAUUUGGAGCUGCAGAACACAGAAUGCAUUCUCUGUUUUCUUUUCCUUAUGUUUUAGAAUCAAUAAUUGGCUUUUAAUCUGCCAUUUGUGUCUUUGACACGUUGUUUCCUUCAAAAGAUUGUUGUUGUGCUUUGCUCUGGGCCUAUUUUAGAUACCAGAAGGUGUUAUUAGCCGGGGCGCUUGUGAUGAAUUUAAUGGUUCAAAAAAUUAGACAUAAUGUGCUAACAAAGCCAGUUGUGGGACAGAAGGGCUUGUGUGUCAUUCAUUUAAGCAAAGAGACAAUGGAUCUGAUAGUAUCUUUGGGCAAGGCAUUUGUGGUUGGAAACUCCAUUUAUUUUAAUCAUUUC